GAUGAACGCUGGCGGCGUGCCUAAUACAUGCAAGUCGAGCGAACGGACGAGAAGCUUGCUUCUCUGAUGUUAGCGGCGGACGGGUGAGUAACACGUGGAUAACCUACCUAUAAGACUGGGAUAACUUCGGGAAACCGGAGCUAAUACCGGAUAAUAUAUUGAACCGCAUGGUUCAAUAGUGAAAGACGGUCUUGCUGUCACUUAUAGAUGGAUCCGCGCUGCAUUAGCUAGUUGGUAAGGUAACGGCUUACCAAGGCAACGAUGCGUAGCCGACCUGAGAGGGUGAUCGGCCACACUGGAACUGAGACACGGUCCAGACUCCUACGGGAGGCAGCAGUAGGGAAUCUUCCGCAAUGGGCGAAAGCCUGACGGAGCAACGCCGCGUGAGUGAUGAAGGUCUUCGGAUCGUAAAACUCUGUUAUUAGGGAAGAACAUAUGUGUAAGUAACUAUGCACAUCUUGACGGUACCUAAUCAGAAAGCCACGGCUAACUACGUG
rnacentral:rRNA from 1 species